rnacentral:rRNA from 1 species
UACGUAGGUGACAAGCGUUGUCCGGAUUUACUUGGCGUAAAGAGCGCGCAGGCGGUCGAUCAAGUCGAGUGUGAAAGCCCUCGGCUCAACUGGGGAGGGUCAUUCGAUACUGAUCGACUCGAAGGCAGGAGAGGGUAGUGGAAUUCCCGGUGUAGUGGUGAAAUGCGUAGAUAUCGGGAGGAACACCAGUGGCGAAGGCGACUACCUGGCCUGUUCUUGACGCUGAGGCGCGAAAGCUAGGGGAGCAAACGGG